GAUUAACGCUGGCGGCGUGCAUAACACAUGCAAGUCGAACGAUGAAACUCAUUAGAUUUCUUCGGAAUGAAAAUGAAUGGAUUAGUGGCGAACGGGUGAGUAACGCGUGAGUAACCUGCCUUACACAAGGGGAUAGCCUCUGGAAACGGAGAAUAAUACCCUAUGAAACAGACAAUCGCAUGAUAAUCUGGUCAAAAUGUUUAGUGGUGUAAGAUGGACUUGCGUCUGAUUAGCUAGUUGGUGAGAUAAAAGCUCACCAAGGCAACGAUCAGUAGCCGGCUUGAGAGAGUGUACGGCCACAUUGGGACUGAGACACGGCCCAGACUCCUACGGGAGGCAGCAGUGGGGAAUUUUGCACAAUGGGGGAAACCCUGAUGCAGCGACGCCGCGUGAUUUAGAAGGCCUUCGGGUUGUAAAAAUCUUUUGUAUAGGAAGAAAAUGACAGUACUAUACGAAUAAGGUCCGGCUAAUUACGUG
rnacentral:rRNA from 1 species